rnacentral:lncRNA from 1 species
GCAAGCAAAUAAAAACAGCUGGUUUUGCUUGGUGUUUCAUUCCCAUGGUGGUGGUAAGGCAAAGUACGCAUGGAGCUAUAGGCUGUGCAAUAUCAAUUGUCACCAUGAUCUUGCUACAGGAGGCAGGAGCUCUUAAAACUGCAUGCACAACUGGAGAGUGCAACCUGGGUGGCACCGUUCACAUUAGCACUAGGAGGCCGAAAGUCUCCCUAGGAAUCUGUGGUUUCGCAGCAAAUGAAAAAUGCCUCACAGCUGGAGCGAGGGAGACAAGAGGACAAAGAUGGAGGCAGAGCCACAGCUUUGAACCGGACACCUUCGAGGGUUCUCACUUUGCAUGACUAGGUCCUGUAGAUUAUGGAGCCAUGGGAAACAUCUCUCCUAUGGUUGUACUUUCUGCCCCUAGCAAGGCUCUGCCGACCUGAGUGUGUGAGUAGGCGACAACUCAAGAGUUCCAAGUCAACUUUUCACCUGGUGAGGAAGAGAAGGAAGCAAGACAGGGAUACAGAGUUGCCCAGGAGCCACACCAAGCUUGGGGACCCGGUGCAUGUCCCUCUCUGCCCAGCUGCCUGGUUCUGUGAGCCACAGCCAUCUUCUAAGAGAUCUGCAGUCAGUCAUGUGACCUUUCUCUGGUUCCACCACAGGACUUUCACUCCUCAUACCUCCCUGGGUACAGAAAAGGCAGGUGUGAGCUGCUUCCCCGUGACUGUCAUUGUUCACAAAAAACCACACACGACUGAGCUCUUGCAUUGGUGUAUGACGUGGGCACAGUGGAGGUGAUCAAUGAGUGACCAUCAGUGGACCAUCUGCAAAAGGUAGCUGAAUGCCAUUCCUGGGGGCAUCUGGGGGCAUUUCAAGAGGACACCAUCUUGGAGCUGGCACUGGACAGUGGCUAGCCUUCAGGGAUGGAACAUCUGUCAUGACUUCCUAACUCUGCGCCCAGCAGUAGCUCUCUCAGCGGCCAUCUGGGGACAUCAGAACAAGCACACAUAGGACAGGGCUGGCCUCCUUUCUUAUACAACCUAGGACUGCCUUCUCAGGGUGGCACCACUCACCAUUAACCAAAACUUGCCCUCAGACCAAGCUGAUGAAAGUAUCUUCUUAAUUAAAGACCUUCUUCCUAAAUGAUCUUAGCUUGUGUUAGGCUCUCAAAAACUAACUGACUUAAGAGUCCAAAGCCAAGCCUGUCUGGAGCAGAAGCCACAGAUAAAUCUACCCUAACAGGAUGGGACAAAUGACCAUGGCUUUCAGUGGAGGUCAGUCUCCAGUUCUCUCAAUGAAAACCACAGGUGACAUUUUCAGUUGUCACCAGAGUCACGCCUCAUAUGACGAAGUGGAAUGGAUCAAGGACAAUCCACUGCAGUAAUGCAAGACAGUGAGGACAUGGUUCAGCAAGCCAAGUAUUUGCCUCACUGGGUUCAGGGCCUGAGUUUGCUCCUCAGAAUACAUGUAAAGAUGUCCUAUUGUAUACCUAUAAUUAAAC